AGGGUUUGGAUCAUGGCUCAUGACGAACGCUGGCGGCGUGCUUAACACAUGCAAGUCGAGCGAGAAAGCUCCUUCGGGAGCGAGUACAGCGGCGAACGGGUGAGUAUCACGUGGGCAACCUGCCCCAAGGAGCGGGACAACCCGGGGAAACCCGGGCUAAUACCGCAUGAUCCGCCACGGCAUAAGUCGUGGUGGCAAAUGGUAGCUUCGGCCUCCGCCUUGGGAUGGGCCCGCGCCGCAUUAGCUUGUUGGUGAGGUAACGGCUCACCAAGGCAUCGAUGCGUAGCUGGUCUGAGAGGACGAUCAGCCACACUGGGACUGAGACACGGCCCAGACUCCUACGGGAGGCAGCAGUGGGGAAUCUUGCGCAAUGGGCGAAAGCCUGACGCAGCAACGCCGCGUGAGGGAAGACGGCCUUCGGGUUGUAAACCUCUUUCAGGGGGGACGAAGCUUCCAGGGUUAAUAGCCCAUGGGGUUGACGGUACCCUCAAAAGAAGCCCCGGCUAACUACGUGCCAGCAGCCGCGGUAAUACGUAGGGGGCGAGCGUUGUCCGGAAUUAUUGGGCGUAAAGCGCGUGUAGGCGGCUUGGUAAGUUCUGGUGUGAAAACUUGGGGCUCAACUCCAAGCGUGCAUCAGAAACUGCCUCGCUUGAGUCCGGGAGGGGAGGGCGGAAUUCCUA
rnacentral:rRNA from 1 species